rnacentral:rRNA from 1 species
CNNCCAAACACGGUUUUUGUCCCCGUAGGAACCGUAAACGGACCGCUUGGAGACGUCUCCACGGAGUGGAAUUAAACGAAUUCGCGGGGGGCACUACAACCCGGAGGAGCCUUCGGUGUAAAUUGGACUCAAGCGUCCGGGACAUCUCACCAAGCUCCGACCUACAGUGAUGCACAGACCAGGUUGGAUGACCCUCAAUCAGCGACGCUGUAAGAUGAGGAGGUUUGCAUUGCCCCCCGUCAAGCUCGUCACCGNUGAGGCGGUCCUGUAAACUCAGGCAACGAGCGAGACCCGCACCCCUAAUUGGCCAGCAACAAUUUCGAUUGUGUUGGGUACAUUAGGAGGACUCCCAGUGUUAAACUGGAGGAAGGAACGGGCAACGGUAGGUCAGUAUGCCCCGAAUGAGCUGGGCAACACAGCGGGCUACAAUGGCUAAGACAAUGGCUCGCUAUCUCGACAGAGAACGCUAAUCUCGAAACUUAGUCGUAGUUCGGAUUGAGGUCUGAAACUCGCCCUCAUGAAGCUGGAUUCGGUAGUAGUCCGCCUUUCAGUAGAAGCCGACGAAUACGUCCCUGCUCCUUGCACACAGCCGCCCGUCAAAGCACCCGAGUGAGGUCCGGAUGAGGCUAUCAUUGAUAGUCGAAUCUGGGCUUCGCAAGGGGGCUUAAGUCGUAACCAAAGGUAGCCGUAGGGGAAUCUGCGGCUG